rnacentral:rRNA from 1 species
UGGGGAAUACUGCACAAUGGGCGCAAGCCUGAUGCAGCCAUGCCGCGUGUGUGAAGAAGGCCUUCGGGUUGUAAAGCACUUUCAGCGAGGAGGAAGGUGGUGAACUUAAUACGUUCAUCAAUUGACGUUACUCGCAGAAGAAGCACCGGCUAACUCCGUGCCAGCAGCCGCGGUAAUACGGAGGGUGCAAGCGUUAAUCGGAAUUACUGGGCGUAAAGCGCACGCAGGCGGUUUGUUAAGUCAGAUGUGAAAUCCCCGGGCUCAACCUGGGAACUGCAUUUGAAACUGGCAAGCUAGAGUCUCGUAGAGGGGGGUAGAAUUCCAGGUGUAGCGGUGAAAUGCGUAGAGAUCUGGAGGAAUACCGGUGGCGAAGGCGGCCCCCUGGACGAAGACUGACGCUCAGGUGCGAAAGCGUGGGGAGCAAACAGGAUUAGAUACCCCUGGUAGUCCACGCUGUAAACGAUGUCGAUUUUGGAGGUUGUGCCCUUGAGGCGUGGCUUCCGGAGCUAACGCGUUAAAUCGACCGCCUGGGGAGUA